rnacentral:lncRNA from 1 species
GUUUUCUUGCAGAUGUUCCAUCGCAGUGAUGCUCUUCUCAUGUUCGCCACCAGCAUGGAGCUCGUCCCCCACCCUUCUCUCCAAGAACCUGCACUUUAACGGUGUGCAACAAAAGCCACUCGUUUUCCUCAUGUUUUUGUUGCCGAUGUUUGACGUGGUCGGAGUGAGCGAGAGUGAUUUGCUAUGCGGACCCCCCGCCUCCUGGAGGAGAAGCACGCCGCCGCCCUCCGCACCCACGCACGCGGCUCCCGAUAUCGAGCCCGAUGAACCGUGUGCUCUCUGUUCGGUUGCACUCCAGGAUGGAUGUGUUUGCGGUCAACGAGGUCGUUUUGUGACGGCCGAGGUCUCCCCUUGCUCCUCGCUGUGGGCCGGAGGUGCCCAGCUGCUGCGGACACUACAGGGAAGCCGCGGGUUUAAGAUCCCUUCCGUGACAGGACCCCCGUUGACCCAUGUGCACACAUCAUUGUGCGUGGAUGGCCUGGGAGCCCCGGCUGGGCACCCGGUUGACCGUAGGGACGCGGGGAUGGAUGAAAGGCAAAGGCGGCCCCGGCGGACACUUGGGCGGCCAGGAGUCCCCGUCAUCGUGCCCUACUUAUGGAGAACGCCACCUUAUGGUCCAAAUGUGCACCUCCAGACCAGGAAUAAUGACAGGAGGCUCUUUUGAAAAACAAUUUGUCUUUGAUUCAUGGCCAGAGUCGGGUAGAGGUGUCAAGAACGCUCGCCGACUUUCCUUAACUUCUUCUCCAAGUCAGAGUCGUGAUGGUGCGGAGCCUAUCCCGGAAGCAAGUAGGUAUAGGUACGCAGGGCUAGUCGGAGCAGCACUGUGGACACAUUUCAACUGUCACAAUAUUAAAAAACAUAUUCUUAACUUCUUAAACAUAUUUAAACCCGAUUUUAUCCCGCAGAGAUCACCUGCUUGGCCAUGAAUGAAAGGCGAGACAAAUCUCAGGAACCCAACCUUAACCUUUCCGACUGGGAGCAUCAUACAGAGAAAAAUGAACCCUCUAUGGUACUAACACGCCACUCAUAGCGUGCGGGAGUCGAAUGAUAUGCGAUGGGUAAAUGUAACUUUUCACCGCUCGCCUCUGUUUUUAACGCAGGGAAAACGACAGAUGUCGGAGAAACGUGAUCCCGGAGAGGGAGCAACUCCAAGUCCGAGUAUCUUAUGUGGAAUAUCUUAUUUCUCAUUUCUCGCUUUACGCAGCUGUUCUUUGAAGAGAAGCUGGGUGGAACAGACUAACACUACCGAUGAACAACAUAAACCAUCGACACACUUCGCGCUGAUAUAUUUAUCAUGGCAUUCAGGGGUUUACAUUACUGCUAAUGUCAGCUUCCCUGUCGGAAUAAAGAUGCACUUUAUAAAGAGCUUGUUAGUAAA